rnacentral:rRNA from 1 species
GACGAACGCUGGCGGCGUGCUUAACACAUGCAAGUCGAACGGAAAGGCCCUGCUUUUGUGGGGUGCUCGAGUGGCGAACGGGUGAGUAACACGUGAGUAACCUGCCCUUGACUUUGUGAUAACUUCAGGAAACUGGGGCUAAUACCGGAUAGGAGCUCCUGCUGCAUGGUGGGGGUUGGAAAGUUUCGGCGGUUGGGGAUGGACUCGCGGCUUAUCAGCUUGGUGGUGGGGUAGUGGCUUACCAAGGCUUUGACGGGUAGCCGGCCUGAGAGGGUGACCGGCCACAUUGGGACUGAGAUACGGCCCAGACUCAUACGGGAGGCAGCAGUGGGGAAUAUUGCACAAUGGGCGGAAGACUGAUGCAGCAACGCCGCGUGCGGGAUGACGGCCUUCGGGUUGUAAACCGCUUUCGCCUGUGACGAAGCGUGAGUGACGGUAAUGGGUAAAGAAGCACCGGCUAACUACGUG